UGAUUUCAUAGCUUCCUAACCCCAGAGUGAUACAAAUCCACCGUGCAAACUAGGAAACUGGUUCUGAUCUAUAGAUCAUAUAGAGAACUAUGGCUGAGGUCUGGCUUCCUGGGAGAAGUAGCAGAUGAUGGCAUUGGCUGAUGAGGCAACUGUGCAGCCUCAUUCCACCCCAACCAUUAAGCUGUUUUCUGGUGCAGAUGCACUGGAUACAGAUAUCUCCUUAGAAAAUUUACCAACCACAGUCAUCAGGAUGGAGAAUAGGAUGGAGGCCAGGUUCACCUGGCUAUGACUCUGACUCUGACUCACAGAAUGAGAAACCUCACUGGGCUCAUGGCUGCCAAAUCUUCAAACUCACCUUCAACUGCAAUGACUUUCGGUGGGAGCUGAGGACACACAGCAACUUGCACAAAGUACUCAGCACAACCUUAGACCGGGCCAUACAUAAGGGCAACUCUGCUCUGUUGUCCCAGAAGAGUGACUCGUGCGAACUUCAAGGACAGAAAAACAGGCUAUUUCCUUGGUGAUCAAAGAGUCUUUCAUGCCUCAUCUUACAAGCCUUAAUCAACUGAACAAGGAGCACACAUAUGAGAAUGCAAGAUGGGGUUCAUGGACUGCGAGACACAAGAUACUUUCAGUCCCUAACAAACCCCUUUCCCUUUGUACACGCAGAUCUCUUCAGCCUCUAAAGCUGAGCCCCCAAUUCCCAUGUGUUCAAGAAUCUUGAUCAGGUGGCAAGGACACUGGUGCUUCAUCCCCGCAGGAGCCUGGAGAUGUCUGCUAGCAACCGAGCAUCUCAUUGGGGCACCUCCUCGCCAUGCGUCCGUUCCAUUGCCAUAGGGAGAUGGACCAUCAACCCAUGACGGUGUUUAUAUCCAACUUCAGUUCCGUUUUCAGG